rnacentral:rRNA from 1 species
UAUUGGACAAUGGGCGCAAGCCUGAUCCAGCAAUGCCGCGUGAGUGAUGAAGGCCUUAGGGUUGUAAAGCUCUUUUACCCGGGAUGAUAAUGACAGUACCGGGAGAAUAAGCUCCGGCUAACUUCGUGCCAGCAGCCGCGGUAAUACGAGGGGAGCUAGCGUUAUUCGGAAUUACUGGGCGUAAAGCGCGCGUAGGCGGUUUUUUAAGUCAGGGGUGAAAGCCCGGAGCUCAACUCCGGAAUAGCCUUUGAAACUGGAAAGCUUGAAUCUUGGAGAGGUCAGUGGAAUUCCGAGUGUAGAGGUGAAAUUCGUAGAUAUUCGGAAGAACACCAGUGGCGAAGGCGACUGACUGGACAAGUAUUGACGCUGAGGUGCGAAAGCGUGGGGAGCAAACAGG